rnacentral:lncRNA from 1 species
UUUUACUGCCUCUCGUUUGCGUUUCAAUUUAUUCGAUAGGAUCGCAAUUCCUUUUAAAAUUUUGCAGAGGUAAUCACAAUUCACCUGAUUGUGAGUAUUGAUUCUCAUUUACAGGACGUUUCAAUUAAUUUUAUGUUUUUACCUGUAAUUUGUAAUUUGGUAUCCGUGAAGCGAAAAUGGAGAUCGCUUAUAUUAUACAUGAUUUGGUGAGAUGACGGUGUUACCUAUUUUUGUGAUAGGUGAACGGCGAUGUCUCGUGUGUAUGUUGGGAACCUGGAUCCACGUGUUUCCGAGCGAGAGCUUGAAGAUGAAUUUCGCGUCUACGGUGUUCUGAGGAAGUAAGUUUUGCUUAAAUUAUUUGUGAUUUUUCAUAUCAAUGUACUCGAUAUUUGUUCUUUGUGUUUGUUCGUAUCAUCAAAGGUAAUGUAAUUAAUCAGUAAAAAAGAGAUAAACAAGAGAACUUGUAUGAAGCAUCGUGUUAUACAUUGCGUGAUACAUCUACGAGUUAAACUUUUUCUCUAACCUCUUAGAUUUGGUAUUCUGUGAAUGAUGGAACACUUUGAGAAGAUAUUGUUUAUUAUUUUUGUAAUUAACAUCAAAGUUUGAGACUUGAAAGUACUUGAAAGCAUCAAGUGUGACAUGAUAUAAUCUUAUGGUAUACUUUCAUUUUUUGUGAAAGGCUGUAAAUUCCUUGUAUAUCAAACAAUAUACAUGCAUAUUUUGGUUCAAUCUUCUACUCUAUGCUGCUUGCAGUUUUCUAAGCACUGGUUUUGUCCUUUUAAUAAAAAACUAACUUUUUUAAAUGCUCACCUAUCAUUGUUAUUGAACUGAAUGCAGUGUGUGGGUUGCUAGAAGGCCACCUGGUUAUGCAUUUGUUGAGUUUGAUGAUCGCAGAGAUGCACUAGAUGCUAUUCGUGCAUUGGAUGGUAUCUUCUUCCUCUAGACAGAAACAUUAAAAUUCAUAGCCAUAAUGUUAGAUAUCAUUGGGUUUAUAAUUACAUGUCUUAUUAAACGGCAUCACAAAUGUAUUUGAAUGUAUUCAGGGAAGAACGGGUGGCGAGUAGAGCUCUCCCACAAUUCAAAGGACGGUGGAGGCGGCGGGCGAGGCGGUGGUGGCCGUGGACGUGGUGGUGGUGGUGGUGAUGACCUGAAAUGUUACGAGUGUGGUGAGCCUGGUCAUUUUGCCCGUGAAUGCCGCCUACGUGUGGGCCCACGUGGGUUAGGUAGCGGGCGGCGUCGCAGCCCUAGUCCCAGACGACGAAGAAGUCCAAGUUAUGGUCGUCGGUAUGUCGCGUUUAUUAUAAAUAUUUAUAAAGUUGGCUACUUUUUCAUUUUUCCAAAGUUUUUUAUUGAUUAUAAAGUUAUUUUUUUGUUUUUGGAAUAUGACUUCUAUUUUUGUGAAAAUGUGUUUGUUUUACAGAAGUUAUAGUCCGAGAUACAGUCCACGUGGGAGAAGGUCUCCACCUCGCCGGAGCAUAUCACCUUACAGAGGACGUGCCAGCAGAUCGCCACCUCCAUAUCGCCGUGCCAGGCGUGAUUCCCCAUAUGCUAACGGGUAUGUUUCUUGUUUGUUUGAUUUAUUUUUGUUUUUGUUUAUAAAUGCUUAUGUAAAUGCUUGUUUUCAGAGUUUAAGAUGGAGUGAAGAAGGAAUGGAUUAUGGAAGGACGAGAAUGGAAAAAUGAUAGGUUGGGGUUAAUAUGUUUUUUUUCGUGAUGAACAAAUUUGGGGUAGGGUUCUAUUUAUUAUAUAUUUAUAUAUGAAUGAUGAAUCAUGAUGAUGAUGAUGAUGACAUUGUGGUGUGUUUGUACCUGGCAUCCGAUGUGGAACUGCACUUUAUACCCGCCAAAAAGGGGUUGCUCAUCGGCUUAGAGGUCCAUUUCUUUUCUUCAAUUGCUUUGUUUACUCUGUCAUGAAGCAUGAUAUUAUUAUUAGUAUUAUGAUAUUUAAGUGUAUUUUGUUUCUAAACAUUUUUUUUUAAUUUUUUCUUUUAUAUAUUUUGAGGUUUGGUUAUCGGCUGAGAACCAACCAACCAACCAACCAUCGUCUUCAUCAUCAUCUUCUAGUUUCUGCAUCAUCUUAAGACUACUACUACUACUCUUGACACACGGUUUAGCUUCGCAUCUUCAUCUUCAUCUCUGCUUCUUCUUUGAAACUGCAAAUUUUGGUCAUCAACUAUUUAAUGACACUCUGACUCUGCGACAAAGCUUCUCACGUCUUUAACACAGUCAGUCCACUUAUCUUGGUUCUUUGUCUGCUGGUUGCUGAGCUUUUGUUGUUUCUACUCGCCAAAAAGGUAAAAACAGUGACUUGUUGACUCCGCCUUGUACCCUUUUCUGCUGGGGCUGUGGGUCCUACUUUUGCUUUUGGGCUCUAGUGAAACCAGUCGCCAACGUUUAACGGAUUAUAUGGUGAAUACCUCUACCUGGUUCAUAUGUUUGGUGUUUGUUUUGACUUUGUUUUCUCCCUGAAGGUCGCAUAUGUAAGUAAAGUAGUCAUGAAUAUGUUGAUAAUUAAUCCUUGAAUUCAAACUUUUUUAAUCACCACAUGACUGAGCAGGGUCCUAGAAAGGGUCCCAGAAAAAAAGAUUAUUUUUUAAUUUUUUUUGGCGCA